rnacentral:rRNA from 1 species
UACAGAGGUCUCAAGCGUUGUUCGGAUUCAUUGGGCGUAAAGGGUGCGUAGGUGGCGCGUUAAGUCAGGUGUGAAAUUUCGGAGCUUAACUCCGAAACUGCAUUCGAUACUGGCGUGCUUGAGGACUGGAGAGGAGACUGGAAUUCAUGGUGUAGCAGUGAAAUGCGUAGAGAUCAUGAGGAAGACCAGUGGCGAAGGCGGGUCUCUGGACAGUUCCUGACACUGAGACACGAAGGCCCAGGGGAGCAAACGGG